CCCCCACCUAUGUAUAUAGGACCCUAAAAGAUCACCAUUAAAGUUGGCACGGAUCUUCAGAAAAGUUAUCAUAUGGAUGUGGGACUUGACUUUUCUAUAAAUUCGUGCCAAAUUUAAUGGUGAUCUUUUGGGGUCCUACACACAUAGGUGGGGA
rnacentral:pre_miRNA from 1 species